rnacentral:rRNA from 1 species
UACGGGGGGAGCAAGCGUUGUUCGGAUUUACUGGGCGUAAAGGGCGCGUAGGCGGCCAGCACAAGUCAGUUGUGAAAUCUCCGAGCUUAACUCGGAAAGGUCAACUGAUACUGUGCGGCUAGAGUGCGGAAGGGGGCAACUGGAAUUCUUGGUGUAGCGGUGAAAUGCGUAGAUAUCAAGAGGAACACCUGCGGCGAAGGCGGGUUGCUGGGCCGACACUGACGCUGAGGCGCGAAAGCCAGGGGAGCGAACGGGG